GGCAGGGUCAAAUUGGUCCCAUCAAACAACUAAUUGUUUACACAUAAAAAAAAAGUACAGCUAGGAUUGAAAAAAGCCCUCCCGAGUUGCCAUACCAUGGAAUCUGCAAUACCCUUUAAUAUCUGACAAUGGAUAAAAUAUCCUCAUUAAAAAGAUUACACCUUUAUUAGUUUUCUUUUCUUUUCUUUUCUUGCUAUCCAAAUAGACAAACAACAAACUAUUGUAUUUAAUGAAUUGUCAGUGUAUAAGACAACAAGAGGCAGUUGCAAAGCAAAACAGUAUAUCUAUUUUUAAACAUGCAUCUUGAUUUGCAGGUAACAUUAUCUUGGUUGGGGCUCUAUAUUGGCGUAGUUGUACCGAUUGUGAUACUCAUUGAUGUUUUGAAUAUCGAUAGAGAAGGUGUUACUCACAAGAUAUGAUGACCUAAUUAUAAAUAGUACUUAUGCUGCUAGUUCCUCCUCUGCUAAUAUCGGAGAUGCAAAAAUAGUUAUAUAAAUCUAGUUUCUCAAUUCUCGUCAUUUACUUAUGGAAUGACUAAUUCAAAAUUAUUGAAAAGUCAUUCAUUUCUA